rnacentral:lncRNA from 1 species
AAAUAAGGCUUGAAAACACGGUUCAUCAGAUCCAUAAAAGCUACCGGGGCAUUAGUAAGCCCAAACGGCAUAACAGUAAACUCAUAAUGUCCAUACCGUGUUCUAAAAGCCGUCUUCGACACAUCCUCAGGUCUGAUCCUCAACUGGUGAUAUCCCGACUGCAAGUCAAUCUUGGAAUAUACACAAGACCCCUGGAGCUGAUCAAAUAGAUCAUCAAUCCUUGGUAAUGGAUACUUGUUCUUAAUCGUGACUUUAUUAAGUUCACGAUAGUCUACGCAUAGGCGAAGUGAUCCAUCCUUCUUCUUCACAAACAAAAUCGGUGCUCCCCAAGGUGACACACUCGGUCGCACAAAACCCUUAUCCAGAAGAUCCUGCAACUGUGCCUUCAGCUCCUUCAAUUCUGCUGGUGCCAUCCUAUAGGGUGCCUUUGAGAUCGGGGUAGUCCCGGGAACGAGAUCUACCACAAACUCAAUCUUCCUAUCAGGAGGCAUGCCUGGAAGCUCCACUGGAAACACGUCUCCAAACUCUUGCACCACGGGGAUAUCCUCAAUCCUAGGAGCGCCAUCCACAUCCCGCAACACAACAGUAGCCAAAUAGGCUACGCAACCUCUACUAAUCAACUGUCUAGCUCGAGAGGAGCUAAUCGUCAUCGCAAACAGCGAACUCUGGCAUCCUCGGUACACAACCUCCGCCUGCCCCGGCUCUCUAAACAUCACCUUUCGAUUCUUGCAAUCGAUAGUGGCAUGGUACUUUGUCACGCCCCGGGACCGGCGGAGGCCCUCCCGGUGGCGUGCCCAGACCCGCCAUAUGUCUACACAUAUAAGGCGUCUACAACAAAGCGGAAGUAAAAGCGAGAAAUAGAACGAAUAGAAUAAUAACAACUAACGAUAUCAGAGCGACUAAGGUUCUAUCAUCUAAACCAAAGUAAAAGAAAUAUAACUAAACAAAGUAAGUAAAGCAUAAGGUGAUACAAUACUAACACCUCAAAGAAAUACCCAGAUCCAAAAGAAAGGUGGUCUCUAUACAUAUACGGGUACAACUUACAACCUCUCACAACAUAAAAACAUCGAGAGGUAGACCACCUAGCGACUCGUCACUCGCUGAAGAGCUAGCUCGAAGCCACGCCCUUUCCUCGAUCCCUAGCCUCUCCCGGCGUGGAAGGCUCUGAAAAAAAACAUAAAACAGAGGGCGUGAGAACUAUAAUUUAUAGUUCCCAGUGGGCAAUUACUGACCUCAGCUCAAUGCACCACUAGGCCCCAAAAGAAAGGGUAAGUCUAACAAUAAUAGUAACGAGUAAAUUGCAUAUAAGAAAGCAUAAUUAAGAUGCUAAGCUACGGCUUGCAAUUAAACAUGGCAUUUAUAAUGUGACUUUAUCUUGUCAUGGAUGAUAUAUAUUGUCACGCCCCGGGACCGGCGGAGGCCCUCCCGGUAGCGUGCCCAGACCCGCCAUAUGUCUACACAUAUAAGGCGUCUAGAAUAAAAGCGGAAGUAAAGGCAAGCAGGAGAACAAAUAGAAGAAGUGAAAUAACAAGCAACUAAUGAUAUCAGAGCGAGUAAAGUUCUAACAUCUAUACUAAUAGUAAUAGAGCAUAACUAAACAUAAAAGUAAACAUAAGUUAUACAGUAUCAACCUCUAAUACAAAAAUGGUGGUCUCUAAUACACUGGUAGAACUCUCAACCUCUCCAAAAUAAAACACAACGGGAGGUAGACCACCUAGCGAAUCGUCCUCGAAGGAAGCUAGCUCGAAGCAACUCCCUUCCCGCGGUCCCUGGCCUCACCCUGAGUGGAAGGCUCUGAAAAACAUCGAGAAAAAGAGGGCGUGAGAACUAUAAUUUAUAGUUCCCAGUGGGCAAUUACUGACCUCAGCUCAUGCUCCACUAGGCCCCAAAAAAAGGGUAAGUAAUGCUAAUAGUAAUAAGCAAUAGGAAGGAGCAUGUAAAUAAACUGCUGAAGGAGAGUGCAUAAGUAAAUUGCUAUACUAAUAAAUCCCUCAUAAGCACGAUGUCAAAAUAUUGUACUUAUAUUCUAUCAUAAGGGAAAAGUAACCAAUGACAAUAGUUUACUGAUACAACCCUUUAUUCAAACAUGAUGUAUAAGCUCUAUCGUGGCAACCAAGUAUACUAUGAUGAAAUAGGUAACUGUCAAGUGUACUACAUGUCUCAACUCUAUGCUAUAUGCAUGUAAAUGUACUCCAACUACUAAGCCUAACUAGUAGGGAGUGUUCAUUCUCAAACUGUGUCGAUUUCCAUUUCCAAUUAGGGACCUACCCAAGGUAGUCCAGCUUGUGCCGCCUAAGUGCCUGUGGUAGCCCGACAUUCCUACUCAUGGAAUGUGUCUGUCCCACUCGACCCCGUAGGCUUCUCGAUACCGCACGAGCGAACAUAAGUCGCAUAGGCUAACUCCGGAGUGCCGGCUUGUAGGGAGCGACCCUCACAAGCAUGUGCGAAUGAGCACAAAUGGCAAGCAAGCAAAGUCCAAGUCUCAAAUAUCAAAUUCUCAUGUCUCUAACAUGGUAAGGUCACUAGCAUCCCGAAGAUCUAGUUUAAAUCACAAUGUGAAGUUUCAACAUUUGCUACGCCUAGUGCCCCUUAAUGACACUUAGGCAAUUUGGUGUCCAACAUGUAUCCCAAGUCCCUCGAUGGCCCUAUCCACUAGGUUCACACAUGUCCCGAGCUCAAUGCCGCUUGAUGACAUUAGCUCUCUAAUUCACAUACCUUCUAAAUGACAAUCUUGUCAAUUUUCAUGUCACAAGUAAAUGUAGGUUUACAUGCAUGAAUCCGAACUCAUUUAUACUAUAGAAGCAUGAUACCACGUCUCAUAUAGAAUGCUAAAUGCAACUAUGGCCUAAUAAGCUACUCUCUACUACAUAGAGGUCCAAAAUUUCAUUAUAUAUAACAUAGGCCUUUUAAGCAUUCUAAAAUUCACAAUAAAUACAUAUAACAAGAAUAUGCAUGCUUUUUCAUUUAACAACACUUAAUUAAGCACAAAUGAGAAUUUCUCAUUGUGUGGCUAGGUCAAACCCACCGAACCGUCGCGUAGGGUCUCGUUUCGCCGAACCAAGUUGUCCCCGAGUCUCAAAAUACCCUAAAAGUAAUCAGCGAAGAGAUACGAGGGCAUUACGACCAUCCUAUAAUAUCAAAUAUUAACCUAGAAGCAAAAAGGGCCAAAACUCACCUCAAGUGAAGAAAUCUCUUCCAAAGCUCCAAAAGAGAGCUAGAACCCUUCCAAUCCAAGCCCUAGGAAGGUUCUAAACCAAUCAAUUUAGCCCCAAAAGCCCUAGAUCAAAAAUGCCCAAAAUCAAGCCCUAAAUCUCAUUUCUAGGGUUUAAACAAGCAAAAAGCUCCAAAACUAAGAUCUAGAGGGAGGAACCUUGCCACAUACCUCUAGGAUGCUCCAAUCCAAGCUCAAAAUCUUCUAGGGUUGAAGAUUGAUCCACCACAAAGCUCCAAAAGCAAGCUCCAAGCCUCCAAAGGUGGGAAAUGAGGAAGAAGAUGGUGCUCCAAGCAAGCCCUUCUCCUCUUCUUCCUCUUCUUCUCCUUCUUCUCCUUCUCCCUCUCUUCUUCUCUCUCUAGAAUGCAAAGGGUUAAGAGAAAAUGAGAGUGAGAGGGGAGGAGAGGCUGCCUAUAGCCUCUAAGGUAACAAAAUCCAGUUAGGCCCCUCAAAAACCCAAAAUUACAUCAGCCCGGACUGGGCAGUUUUCGCCCAGAGGGACCGGUCUCUCCCCAGCAGGGACCGGUCUCUCGCUGCGAACCCGAAAAACCAGCAUUCGGGAACCGGUCUCUUCCCUGCGCGGGACCGGUCUCUCACUGCGAGAACGCGCUCGGGGACCGGUCUCGCCUGCCAGGGACCGGUUGCCUCAGGCUGCCUCAGCACUGUUCACUGGGGGAACCGGUCUCUCCUUCCAGGGACCGGUCUCCGAGAGUAAAAACUCUCAGGACUUGUCCAAAGUUCCCGAUUUCGAACUUUUCGGGUCGGGAAACAUUUUACAACCCUCCACCAAGUGUGGAAAAGCUCGAAAUACAUUCAAACACUCGAACCUCGCAAUUUGCAAAGGUCCAGUGUGUUACAUAUAUCUACAUGUUCACAAGUAAUAUCAUGAUUUACUUUAUACAAAUAUGAAAGUGGUACUUUGUCAUGACUACAAUGCAUAUAAGGAUGUAAUAAACAACAUCUCCUAGCAUACUACAUGUAUGUAUGAAUACCCAAAUGUCCACAACUAUGCUAGAGGUAAGUCCAUGUAAUCCUACUACCACUCUCUGUCUAGUAGUGAUCAUAAUAAACUCAACACCGUGUCGAUUUUCAUUUCCAAUUAAGGACCUACCAAAGGAAGUCCAGCUUGUGCCGCCUAAGUGCCUGUGGUAGCCCGACAUCCCUACUCUUGGAAUGUGUCUGUCCCACUCGACCCCGUAGGCUUCUCAAUACCGCANNNNNNNNNNNNNNNNNNNNNNNNNGAUGCUAACCAAAUCUCUAGUCAUGAUGUCACCAAGUUUACUAUUGUCUUGGUCCUUUACAGUUUCAUACAUUCAUAGGGUUCUAUGUCCACAUUCUAAUGUUCAUGUGUAAGAUCUGGUCCUCUUUUAGAGGAUUCAAUAACUGACAAUACUACAAUUUAACUUCUAACUAGCUCUUUAUGCUAGUUUCACAAUUUCACUGUUUAUCUCACAAUGCUAUCCAAUUCUCAAGUAGAAUGUCACCAAGUUCACUAUUGUCAAAGUCCAUGCAUUCAUAGGGUUCUAUGUCCACAAUCUAGGUUCACAAAUUCUUAUUGUUGAUAGGAAUUCACAUUUUCACUCGCUCAAUGCCAAACACCCUAUAAUGCAUGACUACAAAUAUAAAUAUGCUCAACGGAGAAUUAUAGACAUAAAAGGUGAUUCAAAGAGUUCGGAUAGCACCACCCACCUGUAGUGGUGUCAAUCAACUAGAAUCCACGUCUCAGAAAGCGUCGACGACUAUCUCUCGCGACUCCGUGCAAAUAGGACUAAAGCGGUCUCUAUCGUAAUUAGCGUGUCGUCGACCUGUCGGAAAGUCAAUUUAGACUCUUGGGCAUGUUUCCAUUUCACUUAUAAAGGAUUAGAAAAGAUUAAACUAGAGUCAUUACACAUAAUUGACAAGUUAGCAUUUCAAUGCUAUAUAAAGCGGCAAUUAUAGCAAAAAACCUUCUUUUGGCGAUAUCUUUGCGUAGGUUCGUUGGAUUGCCGAACCGACUUCGCCAACGCGUUUCUUUUACCCUCAAUUUGGUUUACACGCGGUCAAUUUCGCAUUAGGACUCUUAUUUUGCAAAAGUGCAUUGUCGGGGUCAAUUUUCAAUACAAACCCAUUUCAAUGCAAUUUCACUUUCAAUGCAAUUGCAAUUUCACAAUUACAUCGAGUUCUUUCAACUCGUUCUUUCUCGUUUUCUUUCUCUCAUUUUUCCUCUCUUCUAUUUCUUUUUUCUUUCUUCCAUUCUUUUCCUCAUUCUUUCCUUUCUCUUUUCUUACUUUCUUUCUUUCUUUCUUUCUUUCAUUCUUUCUUUCCUUUCUUUCCUGCAGGUUUUUCUUGUCUUUCUUUAUUGCUUUCUUUCCUUCUUUUCUUCCUUUGCAGGACAGCUUCUACUGCUGUUACUGCUGCUGCUACUGAAGCUUCUGCUGCUGCUAAUAGCAGCUGCGCAAGCUGCUGCUGCUGACUGCUUGCCCUGCUGCUGCUGCUGCCUGCUUGCCCUGCUGCUGCUGACUGCUCAGCAGCAGGCUGAGCUGCUGUUGCUACUCAGCUCAGCAGGGCUGAGCUGCUGAUGCUGCUGCUGCUAUUAUUGCAGCUGCUGCUGAUGCUAACUGCUGGUGCCACUGCUGCUGCUGCUAGCUGCAGCUGCUGCUGCUGUUUGCUGCUGCUGCUGCUGAGCAAGCUGCUACUGCAGCUUGCUGCUGCUGCUAAUCCUGCUGCUGAUCCAGCAGCUGCUGCUGCUGGCUGCUCCAGCAGCAGCUGCUGAUGCUACUGCUGCUGCUGCUGUUCCUGCUCAACAGCUAGCUGAGCUGCUGCUGCUGUUGAUAGGGAAGAAGAGUGAGGGGGAAAAAGAUAGCAAGGAGAGAGGGAGAGAGAUUAAAUUUCUUACCUUUUUCUUCUUCCUUUUCUUCUCCUGCUACUCUUUUCUCUUCUUUUCUUCUUCUCUCUCUUUUCUCCUUCUCUCUCUCUCUACGUAUGGAACCAGGGUGAAGCAGAGGGGAUAAGAAUGAAGGCCUCCCUGCUGCCAGAUUAGUGGAAAUCCACUAACUUAGUGAUAAAUGACCAUAAUGCCCCUCGACUUAAGUUCGUUUAGUCGCACGGAUUAGAUACCUUUUGCAGGCUCUUCCGACAGUCCGAUUGAGCUCAAAUUUGGCAGGAAUGUUCGUUUUUACUUGACAAGUCCACUGAAAUUUUAACAUUUCAGUUUCGACCCCGUUUGGUCACUGCGAACUGUCCUGAACUGUAAUCUUUAUCAGAUAACUUCCAGAUGCUAUUUCUCUCUCUACAGGUGUCAGAAAAAUCUGAAACUUCAAAACUAGCCUUAUAAUAAUGUUCCUGACAUCUCUGCCAAUUUUUGUAAUUUUCUGACACUGUGCAUUUUCUGCUAAUUUUCUCAGUCCCGUUUCUUACAGAAAAUUCUAAAAUUUCCGUUUUCGCUCCGAUUUCACCCAAACACUUCUAAAAUACACCAAGGGACCUUCCCAAGCUACCAAUUUAAUUUGGAAGCAAUUUCUUUUCAUUUUGACAUUAUUUGAGCCGAAUUAGAAAUAGAAUCGGCUCUAAUUCCAUUACAUGACCUUUUUGCACUACCACUUCGCACUGAGCUCUUCAAAACCCUGUGAAAACACACCCUUGGCUUUACCAAAACUUCACAAUUGAUUCGGAGGUACCACAAUUUAUCCUUACACCUUACUUUAAUUCUUUUAAUCAAAGUUAGCGUCGGAAUUUCGAAAAUUCUCUUUACUCUCUUUACAUUUCGUUUCGCGCCCAAUUUGCGCCGAAACACUUAUUUCUCUUUGGAACUCAUUCCAACGCAUCACAAAUCCCUCGGGGAUGAUGUCCAACUAGCUCAAUCCUCACUUUGACCCUCUAGGUCAAAGUUGACAUUGCAGCUUCAGGAUGCCAUAUAUUACACACAAGCAUGUGCGAAUGAGCACAAAUGGCAAGCAAGCAUAGUCAACGUCUCAAAUACCCAAUCAUCAUGUCUCUAACAUGGCAAUAUUCACUAGCAUCUCGAAGAUCUAGUUCUAGGUCACAAUGUGAAAUUUUAAUAUUCACUAAGUCUAGUGCCCCUUUAUGACACUUAGACACUUCGAUGAACAAGCACACUCCAACUCUCUCAAUGGCACUAUCCACUAAAUUCACACAUAACCCNAACUCAUAAUGUCCAUACCGUGUUCUAAAAGCCGUCUUCGAUACAUCCUCAGGUCUGAUCCUCAACUGGUGAUAUCCCGACUGCAAGUCAAUCUUGGAAUAUACACAAGAUCCCUGGAGUUGAUCAAAUAGAUCAUCAAUCCUCGGCAAUGGAUACUUGUUCUUGAUCGUGACUU